rnacentral:rRNA from 1 species
CGGUAACCUGCCCUGUGGUUGGGGAUAGCCUUGGGAAACUGAGAGUAACCCCCAAUAUAGGAUGGGCUCUGGAAAGUCCUUUCCUUCAAAAGCAAUGCCUAAGGAUGAGCCAGCGGCUGAUUAGGCAGUUGGUGGGGUAACGGCCCACCAAACCUGAGAUCAGUAUGGGCCAUGAAAGUGGGAGCCCAGAGAAGGACACUGAGAUAAGGGUCCUAGCUCCACGGAGUGCAGCAGGCGCGAAACCUUUACAAUACACGAAAGUGUGAUAAGGGGAAUCCAAGUGCCAAUGUAUAACAUUGGCUUUUGCCAAGAGUAAAUAUCUUGGAGAAUAAGUGGUGGGAAAGACGGGUGCCAGCCGCCGCGGUAACACCUGCGCCACAAGUGGUGAUCGCGUUUAUUGGGCCUAAAGCGUCCGUAGCCGGAUUGAUAACUCUUCUGUGAAAUUGUUGGACUCAACCCAACAGCGUGCAGGGGAAACUGUCAAUCUUGGGACAGGGAGAAGUUAGAAGUAUGCCGGGGGGAGCGGUAAAAUGCAAUAAUCCUCGGUAGACUACCUGUGGCGAAGGCGUCUAACUAGAACUGAUCUGACGGUGAGGGACGAAAGCUAGGGGAGCAAUCCGGAUUAGAUACCCGAGUAGUCCUGGCUGUAAACGCUGCGAGCUAGGUGUUGCACAUUCCUGAGAAUGUGCAGUGUCGAAGUGAAGGCAUUAAGCUCGCCGCCUGGGAAGUACGGUCGCAAGACUGAAACUUAA